rnacentral:rRNA from 1 species
AUUGAACGCUGGCGGCAGGCCUAACACAUGCAAGUCGAGCGAGCGGCGGACGGGUGAGUAAUGUCUGGGAAACUGCCUGAUGGAGGGGGAUAACUACUGGAAACGGUAGCAAAUACCGCAUACCAUCAGAUGUGCCCAGAUGGGAUUAGCUAGUAGGUGGGGUAACGGCUCACCUAGUCGACGAUCCCUAGCUGGUCUGAGAGGAUGACCAGCCAACCUGGAAAUGGGACAAGGUCCAGACGCCUAAGGGAGGCAGCAGUGGGGAAGAUUGCACAAUGGGCGCAAGCCUGAGGCAGCCAUGCCGCGUGUGUGAAGAAGUCCUUCGGGUUGUAAAGCACUUUCAGCGGGGAGGCGUUACCCGCAGAAGAAGCACCGGCUAACUCCGUGCCAGCCGCCGCGGUAAUAC